GACGAACGCUGGCGGCGUGCUUAACACAUGCAAGUCGAACGGGAACCUUUAUUUCGGUAAAGGUGAGAGUGGCAAACGGGUGAGUAACACGUAGGCAACCUGCCGACAGGAUGGGGACAACAUUCCGAAAGGAAUGCUAAUACCGAAUGGAGUCCGGGGAUGGCAUCAUCUCUGGAUAAAAGAUGGCCUCUGAAUAUGCUAUCGCCUGUCGAUGGGCCUGCGUCUGAUUAGCCAGUUGGCGGGGUAACGGCCCACCAAAGCGACGAUCAGUAGCCGGUCUGAGAGGAUGAACGGCCACAUUGGGACUGAGACACGGCCCAGACUCCUACGGGAGGCAGCAGUGGGGAAUCUUCCACAAUGGGCGAAAGCCUGAUGGAGCAACGCCGCGUGAGUGAAGAAGGUCUUCGGAUCGUAAAGCUCUGUUGCACGGGACGAAAACCGAGCUGAGAAUAUUGAGUUUGGGGACGGUACCGAGCGA
rnacentral:rRNA from 1 species